CUAUUUAUCCAUCGAAAACUCAUCCUCCCAACAUGCAGCUAUCUCUAAAUUGUCUUAAACCUAAUUUCCAAUUCACAAUCACAAGUUUUUGUGCUCAAAUCACUAAGCUCCCAGAUCUUGAACCUACGAUUCGUCCUAUCCCCCAUAACCUCCGCCUCGCUAAGAUCUCUCUCUCUCUCUCUCAAAAAUCUCAGAGGAAAAGCGAGAUCGGAGAUCUCCCAAGAGCUAUCGAAAUAGCGACAAAAGAGCCCAAGUCACCGUCCACCAAUCUUCUUCACUUUCGUCCUAAGGUAAAAUAGUAGAACCCAUUUAGAUUGGAUUUUAAUUUUAAGAGAAAUUGGGUACUGAUUGUUAAUUAACAAUCUGAUUUGUCGGCGACGGCCGAGAUUGAAGAUGAAUUUGGGUUCCAAGGAAAGAAGAAGGAAGACCAUGGAGCAUAAUCAAACUAUGGAAGGAAGAAGCAACAUAACUGUAAUCAAGGCUAUAUGAAAGAGGGGAGAAGGUUCAGCGUGGAAGCUAUUUUACUGUUCCCUUCCCGAGAGAACUUUUACUUUCAAGUGAGUCGCUUCUGUAUACAUGGGUGAUUUUGGGUUCGCAACAUAGCUUUUGAGGAUCUGGUACUUGAGAAUGAUGCUACUCUAGCCGGAAGUGGUGUACAGUUCUGAAAAAUGUUUUUCAGUAUUAUAAGUCUAUGACUUAGAUUAGAUUUCUUGAGCUAGAUUUUUGUGAACUUGUUGUUUGUCAUUGUGAAAUUUUCCAUAUGUAACUGUUACUCUAAAUUAUAAUGAAAAGUUAAUAAUUUCCU